rnacentral:rRNA from 1 species
UACGUAGGGGGCGAGCGUUGUCCGGAAUUAUUGGGCGUAAAGAGCGUGUAGGCGGUUCGGUAAGUCUGCCGUGAAAACCUGGGGCUCAACCCCGGGCGUGCAGCCGAUACGGGCAGGCUAGAGUUCGGUAGGGGAGACUGGAAUUCCUGGUGUAGCGGUGAAAUGCGCAGAUAUCAGGAGGAACACCGGUGGCGAAGGCGGGUCUCUGGGCCGUAACUGACGCUGAGGAGCGAAAGCAUGGGGAGCGAACAGG